rnacentral:rRNA from 1 species
AACGAACGCUGGCGGCAUGCCUAACACAUGCAAGUCGAACGAGAUCUUCGGGUCUAGUGGCGCACGGGUGCGUAGCGCGUGGGAAUCUGCCCUUUGGUUCGGAAUAACAGUUGGAAACGACUGCUAAUACCGGAUGAUGACGAAAGUCCAAAGAUUUAUCGCCAGAGGAUGAGCCCGCGUAGGAUUAGCUAGUUGGUGUGGUAAAGGCGCACCAAGGCGACGAUCCUUAGCUGGUCUGAGAGGAUGAUCAGCCACACUGGGACUGAGACACGGCCCAGACUCCUACGGUAGGCAGCAGUGGGAAAUAUUGGACAAUGGGCGAAAGCCUGAUCCAGCAAUGCCGCAUGAGUGAUGAAGGCCUUAGGGUUGUAAAGCUCUUUUACCCGGGAUGAUAAUGACAGUACCGGGAGAAUAAGCUCCGGCUAACUCCGUGCCAGCCGCCGCCGUAA